CGGUAUUAAGGUUAACAUAAGUACAGAAAGGAAAAUUCGGCCACAUGAAAAGGGAACCUUCAUCGUGAUGCAUUAAUGGCCGCAAAUAGAUAACUAGAAACAAUAGAUAAUACUUUCACUUUCUUCGACGAGUUUAUUUUAGUGUAAUUGUAGUGAUUAAUAGUGAUCAUGUUGUGCUGAAUUAGUGUGACAUUUAAAUUGUAUAUAUACAUAUAUAUAUAUAUAUAAAAUUGUUAUUACGAGAUUCUUAUAGUAUUAUUUGACAUAAGCAUCUUAUCUCUUCAUUCGAUCGUAUUUUUUUCUUAUAAACAAAUAUAACAAUGACAGUAUAAAAAAAAAAAAAAAAAAAAGGAACUAUAAGAUAAUAUCAUAUAAUCUAUACUUAUCGGAUAGAUAAUUAUUUUCUCCGCAAUAUAUAGUUUUCUACUUUAUAUAACGAGGAAAAUAUAUUUUUUAAUUAUAAAAAAAAAAAAAAAAAAGAAAAAAAAAACCGAUUAUAUUUAUAUUAUUAAUAUAAUUGUAAAUAUAACGAGAUUUUUUAGAAAGCAUCAAUUGUAAUGAAGUUGAUUCUGUAAUAUUUGAUAAUAUUCGACGAAUAAUUGAGAAGAAAAUCUUACAAUUAAAAAUAAAUCUUCUUAAGUUUGUAACAUUAACAAUUAAAAUGCCUAGUUCUUAUUUAUAUGCUAUAAACAAUGAGGGACGUGUAUUUGGCUUAUCAACGUCAGGUACUAUGUGGCGUGAAUUUAUGUAUUUAGGACUUGAAUUUAAACAACUUUCAGCCGUGCCUCAUUUUAUGUGGGCAAUUGGCGGUGAUCGUCAAGUUUACGUUCACGUUCACGGCUUAGAUAUACCUAUAAGAAUUAAAGAGGAAACCUAUGAAAAUGAGCGCUGGCUACCUUUAGACGGAUUUAGUGGACGUUUAUUACCAACAGAUAGAUAUAAUUUUUCUAAUCAAGAUGGUACUGUCGAUCGCAGUCGAGAUAAAGUUAAACUUCCAUCUAUGGCUUGGCAAUGGGAAGGAGAUUGGCACAUUGAAACAACGCUGGAUGGUCAACCAUUAGAUCACGAUGGCUGGACAUACGCAGUUGAUUUUCCAGCAACAUAUUCAGCGAAAAAACAAUGGAAGUCUUGUGUCAGAAGGCGCAAAUGGGUCCGAUAUAGAAGAUACAGUGCUAUGAAUUCAUGGUGUGCUAUUGCACCACUUCACAAAGAUCCAACCAAAGAACCAUUUAUCGACGUAGCUGUCGGUGGAAAUCAAAUGCCUGGUGGUAAUCCUGGUGGUUUAGUAGUCUGGGCGGUAACAGCUCAUGGAAGGGUGAUGUUCCGCGUUGGAACAAGUACAACAUGUCCCGAAGGCCAAAGAUGGAGUUCUAUUAAAUUAAAUAACGGACAUGAGGUCUGUCAAAUAAGUGUAGGAGUGACGGGUCUUGUUUGGGCAAUUCUUUUAGCCGGAAAAGCUAUAAUUCGUACCGGUAUUACUCGAGAGAAUCCAAUGGGUGAUGAUUGGACAGAAGUAGAACCACCGCAAAAAGAUUUAAGAUUAAUACAAGUUAGUGUAGGUACAGAUGCUGUUUGGGCAGUUACACACGAUGGUAAUGUAUGGUUUCGGAAAGGUAUUAAAGGUGAGAUGAGCGGCGUGUGUGAACAAUUAGCAGCUGGAACUGGAUGGGUUGAAAUGGGAAGCAAAAUGGCAUUGGUGUCUGUUGCUCCAAACGAUCAGGUUUGGGCUAUCGGUUAUGAAGAUAGAUGUCUUUAUUAUCGUAUGGGUAUAACACGAUCAGAAUUAACAGGGAAAAAAUGGAGAUUAAUUAAUGCUCCUCUUCAAUUAAGUAGAGCCAGUAGCAAUGCUAGUUUAUCCUCCAGUAAUAGACAUAGUAUGUGCGGUACACCACAACAACAACGUCAUCAAAGUUGGAGCUCUUUAAAUCGACCUCAUAGUACUAGCGAAGGAACAACAUUGGUUAGAGAAUGGGAGGAACAAUCAAGAUCAGCACCAACGCCAACAUCUUUGAAGUUAUGGCAACGUACUAAUGAUACUGCGGUUACUAAAAAUUCUCAACAAACAUCUUGCCAGGAUAUAUAUACUACGGAAGAGAAAAAACGUUCGGCAAAUUCAUUAAAUAUGAGUGACUAUACGGAAACAAAUGUAGCAAAUAUAACUAUAUCAAAUGAAUCAUUAACUAAAUCUGGGGAAUCUAUAGUUGUCUCUGGUAAGGGUAUGAGCAGUACAGUCAAGGUCAAUCCAGCUGCUUGGAGUCCUGUACAUUCUGUUGGCUCUAUGGUCGGUAUAGAGGCACAUCCAGAAACAGACGGGAGUAUAUUUGAUCCUGAUUUAACUGGUGAUUCUGGUGUAUACGGAGAGGACGAAAGUGCGGCAAUAGUUUAUUGGGCUGAAUGCGAUGCCUCGUGGUACAAAGUAGAAGCCGGUGCAUGUUAUAUGGAUUUAUUGAAUCCACCAAAAUGGAUUUCAGAUAGCAAUGGUGUAACGCACGGAGAAAUUGCUGAACCAUGGAGGAUACACAUCUUGGAGGAAUUAAAAAAUAGAUUGAAAGGGAUAGAUUUAGAUUUAUCUAAGUAUGAGAAAGCUAUAGAAAAAUCAUCUUGGGUUAAAAAUGGUGAUGCAAGAUGUAAAGUUAAAGGUAGUAGCAUGUACGAGGAUUGUAUUAUUGAAUUAGAAUGGAUAAGUAACGAUAGCGGAUCAUUGGAUUCUGGAACUUUAACAAUUUUAAAUUCCGAUGGUGCUACAAUUCUAAUGCAAUUCCCAAUAUCUGAAAUAACUUGUGUUGUUUGCUGCAGCGAACCAGGCAAUCCGCGUAUAGCUAUUCAUACACCAAAAUUAAUACGCUCUAAAGUUCUUACAUUACAAUUUGCAAGUGAUACGGAUAUGGAAGAUUGGCUGGCACAUUUAACUUCUGUAUCUUGUCAGACAAAUAAUAUCUAUGGAAAACCAAGUCCUAAUUCAAUUUGGAUCACCAAUGCAUUAGGAGAUGUUUACGUAUAUGAUCCUGCGAUAAUAGAGGAAAAUCAAUUUUCCGAAGACGUUUAUGUACAGGAAUUAGAUGCCGCUGGUAAAGAUUUACCGUUCGAAAGUAUAUUACAAAAUAGUUUUGGAUAUGGGAGUUCAUUAAAAAUAACAGUAUGCAUUCACGACGAUGCCGACAGACUUUCAUUUAAUUUAGUAUGUUAUACGACAACAUCUUUGAAACAAAAAGGUAUUACGGAUUGUCACGACGUGGCAUUGCAUUUUAAUCCACGACUUAAAGAAAAUUUAAUAAUAAGAAACACGUAUCAGAAUGGACAAUGGGGCGACGAAGAAAGAAACGGUGGGAGUCCAUUAAAACCAGGCUCUGAUUUUAUAUUAAAUAUUGUUUGCGAAGAACGAGGAUAUAGAAUUUUUAUUAAUGACACGGAAUAUACAUUUUACAGUCAUAGAAUAUCACCACAAAAUAUUACACAUUUGCGAAUAAAAGGAUUAAUGACGUUGUGCAGUAUUCUAUAUAAAUCUAGGUCAAUUAUAAUCGAACCAAUAACAAUGUUUUGGAGACAAAUGGGUGGACAUUUGAAAAAAGUUGAAACAUGUUCUGUUGGUGUUACAUGGGGUAUAGGAUACGAUAAUACUGCCUGGGUAUAUACUAAUGGUUGGGGAGGAACAUUUUUGAAAGGAUUAGGAACUUGUAAUACCGGAAUAAAUACUAUGGUAGAUAUACAUAAUUAUUUUGUCUAUGAAAAUCAACGUUGGAAUCCAGUAACAGGAUAUACUUCUCAUGGUCUUCCUACGGAUCGUUACAUGUGGAGCGAUGUAACUGGUCGUCAUAAACGAACACGGGAACAUACGAAAUUAUUAUCAAUGCAUUGGCAAUGGAUAUCCGACUGGAUUACUGACUUUCAUACUCCCGGAGGUGUUGACAGAGAUGGAUGGCAAUAUGCCACAGAUUUUCCAUCGCAAUAUCAUGGAAAAAAACAAUUUACUGAUUACGUAAGAAGAAGAAGAUGGUAUAGAAAAUGUCAACUUAGUACGAGUGGUCCUUGGCAAGAGUUAGGAAAUACGAAAUUAGUUGAUGUCUCAUUAUACACGGCUAGUAAACCCGGUGAAGAUUCUCUUAUACAUGUAUGGGCAGUAGCAUCCAAUGGAGAAGCUUUAUUUAGACGUGGUGUUUCUGAAUCUUGUCCAAUGGGUGUAUCAUGGGAACAUAUACCAAGCGAUCAACCAUUAAUAGGUAUUUCUUGUGGACCAAAUGGACAAGUUUGGGCAGUUGGAAAAAAUGGUUCUUCUUAUUGGAGACUCGGUGUUACCCUAACUAAACCAACAGGUCUGCAAUGGCAAAAUGUUGAACCACCAUCAGGAGCUCAAUUGAAACAAAUCUCGGUUGGGAAAGAUGUUGUAUGGGCUUUAGACACAACAGGUAGAUUAUCUAUUCGUCGUGAUAUACAAGCAAAUAUUUUCCCAGAGGGUAGUCAUUGGCAAACAUUGCCAGCAAUGCCAAAUGAUCCUAUUCAUAUAGAUAUCUCAGUUAUAAAUUCAAAGCAAGGGUUUAGACAUAUUUCCGUUGCCAAAGAUGAAGGACAAGUGUGGGCGGUUUCUGGUGCUGGUAUAAUAUGUCGAAGAAUUGGUGUAACUAAUGAAAAUCCAGCGGGAACAGGUUGGGCAACUGGUAUAGGAGCAAAUUGGCAGCAUGUAAGCACUGGAGGUAUAAUAAAUAGAAGAAAUUAAUUGCUUAUAAAAAAAAUUUUUCAAAUAUGUUUUCAUUAUGUAUAUAUAUAUAUACACACACACAAGGAACACAUAACGAUGGUGGAGUUCGUUCAAUAAAAGGCGCGAAAAUAUUAUUCAAGCUGAUAACGCUAGAUGGCGCCAGGAGUAUUACGAAAAAUACUUUCUCCUUUCUUUCUUUCUAUUAUCUGUCCUUAGGCAGGUUUGGCAACCGGUGUAAGUGCAACUUACCAAUUAACAUCCACACGAUAAAUCUAAUCCAUGUAAACAUGUCUAAUUGCAACAUCAAAUAAAGAUUUAUAAAAAUGCUACAGCAUGGUAUCAAUGGAACAAAUGGAACCUGAGUAAAAAAAAGAAAAAAGGAUUCGUUAUUGAUAUAAUACAUUAAUAAUUUAUAAUUAUAUACUGUGUUAUAUACUUUGAAAGAGAGUUCGACUUGUUGAACUGGUUGUCUACCAAUAGAUGCUACAUUUAAUAUUAAUAUAAAUGCGAGUAUUAUUAUUAUUACAAAUACUAUUACAUUGCCAUCUGUUAUAUCAAAUUCAACAUAAUUUGAUAUAAUAAUAAGUAUAAAUAAAACGACGGCUAAAACAAAAGAUUUCAAUUAAAAUCAUGUUCAAUUAAAAUAAUGUUGUUAAAAUAUUUAUAAGAAAUUUCUUUUAGAAUACUUACUAAAACUAGCUAUACUACAUUUUGAAACUAUGCUGGAAAUAUGUGAUGGAUCCUUAUGAUUAUUUAAAUUAAAUGUUUGCUUGAAUAUA